CAAGACAGUAGGGAGACUAAGAUAACACAUUAUUAAAGAAAAGUUUAGCUGAUAGCAAUCAAGAACACAUGCUGCUCUCUUCAAGUAGGCAGGGAGAUUUCAAAAGGAAGAGAGAAAAGGAGGCUGGGAAUUUCUCCCAAACCUUCAGGUAACUUGAAGGGAGGAAGAGAGAUGGCGAGAAAGGAGUGGAAGUAUUUCCACUCCGGAUGCUCCUCUGUGAGGAAGGAAACCUCAGCGGUGGGGAAUGCAUGUCCUUUCCUGUAACAUUAUAAUGUGCCAGCUCCAAGCGCUUCCUAUAUUUUGUUACAUUCAAUCCUCACGACAGCUCUGUGAGGUGGUUGAUCAUGGCCAAACUUAGCUUGCUCUGACCUUGAUGUCAACUUUUGGAGCAUUCACAGAAGAUUUCUUGAUUUUCUUAGUAAGAUGCCAAGCCAUGAACUUAAUGAUAAACCAAAGUCCGAAGCCCUCAGGUGGACAAAUCAGGGGCAUGUCCUCAUCUGGAACACUGCUGCAAUUUCUAAGGAAAGCGUGAUGGGGAAGGUUUGGUGUGUUGUGCAUUUCUGGAGUAUUUGCAUUUUACAUGAUGAAGCUGGAGAGAACAUAGGUGGUGAUGGAGCAUCUCCUUCGCUGCAUGGGGUGACACAAACGACUCAGCGUCUCCACACGUGCUGUAUAUUGAAACUUCGUUAACUGCAGUCCUUUUCUGAACAUCACGUCUGCAUGAUCCCAUGGAUGGCUAACCGCAGUAUACAUAGGAAGAGGAGCAGAAUUUGCCAACCCAAAAUACGUCUCUUUGGCAUGAGGAUUAUUUUAGUCUGAUUAUUUUUAGGAAACAGCAGACAUAGAAAAAACUCUGAAAAGUGAGUAGAAGUUACCCUUUUCUAAGAGACAUUUACAUAUAUAAGGGAAAUCUCUAUUUGUAAGGGUGUCUCCCUCUCUGUACCAGGAAGAG
rnacentral:lncRNA from 1 species